rnacentral:rRNA from 1 species
UACAGAGGUCUCAAGCGUUGUUCGGAUUCAUUGGGCGUAAAGGGUGCGUAGGUGGCGCCGUAAGUCGGGUGUGAAAUCUCGGAGCUUAACUCCGAAACUGCAUUCGAUACUGCGGUGCUUGAGGACUGGAGAGGAGACUGGAAUUCAUGGUGUAGCAGUGAAAUGCGUAGAGAUCAUGAGGAAGACCAGUGGCGAAGGCGGGUCUCUGGACAGUUCCUGACGCUGAGGCACGAAGGUCAGGGGAGCAAACGGG